CUCUCUCUUACUUAUUUUUCACUUUUCCUAUAGCUUCUGUAAUAAGCUCACAUUGUUCUUCAGGUUUUGGUAUGAAGGUGAGCCAAAUAACGCAGGUGGAGAUGAGGACUGUGUUGAACUGAUGCCUUCAGGCACCAUCCGGAGCUGGAAUGAUCUCAAAUGCUCUGAGAAGAGAAAAGGGGCAGUGGAUGGAGUGUUACGUUUCAUCAUAGAGAGUCUAAAGUGAAAAGCAGAACACAGAAAUUUCAUACAUUGUACUACUAGUGGCACCAAACGUUUUGUGAAAUGUUAAUGUUAAACCUUUUAUGUUUGACAUUUUAUUUGUACAGAUGCUUUAUCUUUUCUAAACUUUCCCAAUUAAUUGAACAGUGGAUCAUUAUGGUCCCUUUUAUUUUUGCUAUAUUUAUAUGCUUAAUUUUGAUUAAUAAUUAAUAUUAACAUGUAAAAUACAUUUUUUACAAUACAUAAUUAAAAAUGUUUUAUUGGAUACAGGUGCUCCUCAUUUUGGAGUAACACUGGUGUUCUUCACGGUCAAAAGUGACCGGAGCCCUAAAAUUUUAUUUUUUUCUCCCUCAGCAAAACCAAUGUAAUUUAUUUUUGUUCAAUAAUAUUUUUACUUUUUUAUUUUGUAUUUUGAGAGAAUUUCAUGAUACUAAUUAAUAUUUAUGCAAUAAUUAUGAUCAAUUU